UCCAACCUCCAAAGUGCCUCAUCCCUUUCUCUCUUCUCCGUCUUUCUCCUCCGGCCAGCGCAGCCAGUCGACCCCUCUCGCCUCUCCAUUCUUUCCGCUAUAACAACAUAAACAACAGUAGCCGGCGAGGAGGACAACCUCCGACCGGCGAAAGCUCCAGCGAGCAGCAGCCGCUAGACGCCGAUACGUCUCCCCCAGGCGAGAUCGACGGAGCAGCAGGCUCCACUGGCGAGCAACAGCAACCAGCAACGACAGCAAGCUACCUGCGAGGAACACCAGCAGCUAUCAGCUCCAGCGAAAUCUUCUCCGUCUCCAACAACUCCGGCCAACAGCUCAACGAAUCGAGCACCAACAAGUUCCGAAUAAAGGUUCCGGUCAGGCAGCGGAUUCCGGGGAAACCUUGAAGAUCGCGAGUUUGUUAGAGAUGGAUUUUAACAGAUCCGGCAUGUCUCUCGAUAUGGUAUAUAAAAUGUGGAUAUACCAAGUUAUGUGUUGGAGCAUAAAUUGUUGCUGCCUGGUUCAAAAAGAACUGUAGGGAGACCACAACUUCAAUGUUGGAAGGGGUUUGCUGAUGUGAAAUUAAAGAGGUCUAUAGUUACGUGCAUUACAUGUUGUCGGGAGGAACACAACAUGAAAACAUGUCCAAAUUACCCUGCAGCAAAAAAAUCAUAAUUUAUUUUAAUUUUGAUUUGAUUGUUUAAUUGUGACAAACUCAUGUUUUGAUUUAUUUUGUCCUUUAAGCUAAUGAAUUAUAAUUUAAGAACAUUUAUUAUGUGUACUACUUAA